rnacentral:rRNA from 1 species
CGGGACACGUGGUAUCCUGUCUGAAUAUGGGGGGACCAUCCUCCAAGGCUAAAUACUCCUGACUGACCGAUAGUGAACCAGUACCGUGAGGGAAAGGCGAAAAGAACCCCGGCGAGGGGAGUGAAAAAGAACCUGAAACCGUGUACGUACAAGCAGUGGGAGCACGCUUAGGCGUGUGACUGCGUACCUUUUGUAUAAUGGGUCAGCGACUUAUAUUCUGUAGCAAGGUUAACCGAAUAGGGGAGCCGAAGGGAAACCGAGUCUUAACUGGGCGUUAAGUUGCAGGGUAUAGACCCGAAACCCGGUGAUCUAGCCAUGGGCAGGUUGAAGGUUGGGUAACACUAACUGGAGGACCGAACCGACUAAUGUUGAAAAAUUAGCGGAUGACUUGUGGCUGGGGGUGAAAGGCCAAUCAAACCGGGAGAUAGCUGGUUCUCCCCGAAAGCUAUUUAGGUAGCGCCUCGUGAAUUCAUCUCCGGGGGUAGAGCACUGUUUCGGCAAGGGGGUCAUCCCGACUUACCAACCCGAUGCAAACUGCGAAUACCGGAGAAUGUUAUCACGGGAGACACACGGCGGGUGCUAACGUCCGUCGUGAAGAGGGAAACAACCCAGACCGCCAGCUAAGGUCCCAAAGUCAUGGUUAAGUGGGAAACGAUGUGGGAAGGCCCAGACAGCCAGGAUGUUGGCUUAGAAGCAGCCAUCAUUUAAAGAAAGCGUAAUAGCUCACUGGUCGAGUCGGCCUGCGCGGAAGAUGUAACGGGGCUAAACCAUGCACCGAAGCUGCGGCAGCGACGCUGAUGCGUUGUUGGGUAGGGGAGCGUUCUGUAAGCCUGUGAAGGUGUGCUGUGAGGCAUGCUGGAGGUAUCAGAAGUGCGAAUGCUGACAUAAGUAACGAUAAAGCGGGUGAAAAGCCCGCUCGCCGGAAGACCAAGGGUUCCUGUCCAACGUUAAUCGGGGCAGGGUGAGUCGACCCCUAAGGCGAGGCCGAAAGGCGUAGUCGAUGGGAAACAGGUUAAUAUUCCUGUACUUGGUGUUACUGCGAAGGGGGGACGGAGAAGGCUAUGUUGGCCGGGCGACGGUUGUCCCGGUUUAAGCGUGUAGGCUGGUUUUCCAGGCAAAUCCGGAAAAUCAAGGCUGAGGCGUGAUGACGAGGCACUACGGUGCUGAAGCAACAAAUGCCCUGCUUCCAGGAAAAGCCUCUAAGCAUCAGGUAACAUCAAAUCGUACCCCAAACCGACACAGGUGGUCAGGUAGAGAAUACCAAGGCGCUUGAGAGAACUCGGGUGAAGGAACUAGGCAAAAUGGUGCCGUAACUUCGGGAGAAGGCACGCUGAUAUGUAGGUGAAGCGACUUGCUCGUGGAGCUGAAAUCAGUCGAAGAUACCAGCUGGCUGCAACUGUUUAUUAAAAACACAGCACUGUGCAAACACGAAAGUGGACGUAUACGGUGUGACGCCUGCCCGGUGCCGGAAGGUUAAUUGAUGGGGUCAGCGCAAGCGAAGCUCUUGAUCGAAGCCCCGGUAAACGGCGGCCGUAACUAUAACGGUCCUAAGGUAGCGAAAUUCCUUGUCGGGUAAGUUCCGACCUGCACGAAUGGCGUAAUGAUGGCCAGGCUGUCUCCACCCGAGACUCAGUGAAAUUGAACUCGCUGUGAAGAUGCAGUGUACCCGCGGCAAGACGGAAAGACCCCGUGAACCUUUACUAUAGCUUGACACUGAACAUUGAGCCUUGAUGUGUAGGAUAGGUGGGAGGCUUUGAAGUGUGGACGCCAGUCUGCAUGGAGCCGGCCUUGAAAUACCACCCUUUAAUGUUUGAUGUUCUAACGUUGACCCGUGAUCCGGGUUGCGGACAGUGUCUGGUGGGUAGUUUGACUGGGGCGGUCUCCUCCUAAAGAGUAACGGAGGAGCACGAAGGUUGGCUAAUCCUGGUCGGACAUCAGGAGGUUAGUGCAAUGGCAUAAGCCAGCUUGACUGCGAGCGUGACGGCGCGAGCAGGUGCGAAAGCAGGUCAUAGUGAUCCGGUGGUUCUGAAUGGAAGGGCCAUCGCUCAACGGAUAAAAGGUACUCCGGGGAUAACAGGCUGAUACCGCCCAAGAGUUCAUAUCGACGGCGGUGUUUGGCACCUCGAUGUCGGCUCAUCACAUCCUGGGGCUGAAGUAGGUCCCAAGGGUAUGGCUGUUCGCCAUUUAAAGUGGUACGCGAGCUGGGUUUAGAACGUCGUGAGACAGUUCGGUCCCUAUCUGCCGUGGGCGCUGGAGAACUGAGGGGGGCUGCUCCUAGUACGAGAGGACCGGAGUGGACGCAUCACUGGUGUUCGGGUUGUCAUGCCAAUGGCACUGCCCGGUAGCUAAAUGCGGAAGAGAUA